rnacentral:rRNA from 1 species
CAACUUUCAACAACGGAUCUCUUGGCUCUCGCAUCGAUGAAGAACGCAGCGAAAUGCGAUAAGUAAUGUGAAUUGCAGAAUUCAGUGAAUCAUCGAAUCUUUGAACGCACCUUGCGCCCCUUGGUAUUCCGAGGGGCAUGCCUGUUUGAGUGUCAUUAA